GACGAACGCUGGCGGCGUGCUUAACACAUGCAAGUCGAACGGAAAGGCCCUGCUUUUGUGGGGUGCUCGAGUGGCGAACGGGUGAGUAACACGUGAGUAACCUGCCCUUGACUUUGGGAUAACUUCAGGAAACUGGGGCUAAUACCGGAUAGGAGCUCCUGCUGCAUUGUGGGGGUUGGAAAGUUUCGGCGGUUGGGGAUGGACUCGCGGCUUAUCAGCUUGUUGGUGGGGUAGUGGCUUACCAAGGCUUUGACGGGUAGCCGGCCUGAGAGGGUGACCGGCCACAUUGGGACUGAGAUACGGCCCAGACUCCUACGGGAGGCAGCAGGGGGGAAUAUUGCACAAUGGGCGGAAGCCUGAUGCAGCAACGCCGCGUGCGGGAUGACGGCCUUCGGGCUGUAAACCGCUUUCGCCUGUGACGAAGCGUGAGUGACGGUAAUGGGUAAAGAAGCACCGGCUAACUACGUG
rnacentral:rRNA from 1 species